CCGAAAGAUCGAAUGGGGAUAUUCAUCGUCGAUGUCGUCGGCCUCGGGGAGGUGCGCGAUGUAACGCGCGGCUUCGGUGCGCGCGGGUCACGCGCACGCCCCGGGGAACUGGCGCGCGUCGGCGUGCACUUCUCCCCUAGUAGAACGUCGCGACCCGCUGGGUGUACGGUCU
rnacentral:rRNA from 1 species